CAAUAGCGUAUAUUAAAGUUGUUGCAGUUAAAAAGCUCGUAGUUGGAUUUCUGGCAGGAGGGACCGGUCACGCACUCUGUGUGUGAACUUGGCUCCCUCUGGCCAUCCUUGGGGAGAUCGUGUUUGGCAUUAAGUUGUCGGGCAUGGGAUACCCAUCGUUUACUGUGAAAAAUUAGAGUGUUUAAAGCAGGCUUAUGCCGUUGAAUAUAUUAGCAUGGAAUAAUAAGAUAGGACUUUGGAACUAUUUUGUUGGUUUGCGUUACAAAGUAAUGAUUAAUAGGGACAGUUGGGGGUAUUCGUAUUUCGUUGUCAGAGGUGAAAUUCUUGGAUUUCCGAAAGACGAACUACUGCGAAAGCAUUUACCAAGGAUGUUUUCAUUAAUCAAGAACGAAAGUUAGGGGAUCGAAGAUGAUUAGAUACCAU
rnacentral:rRNA from 1 species